GAAAUGCGAUACGUAGUGUGAAUUGCAGAAUUCAGUGAAUCAUCGAAACCUUGAACGCACCUUGCGCCUGUGGUCACCCGCAGGCAUGUCUGUUUGAGUGUCGUUUAUCCUUCUCACCAUCAAAGAUAUUCUUCUUUCCUCGGUGGACUUGAGCGUUUGUUUUGACGAGCAAUCGCUUGAAAAACAGUGGGGACUGAAUGGCAGAGUUUGGACUUUCAUGUGCUGAAGUUGUUCUUUGCAGACCCGGUUGUUUGUUAACAUUUUUUAAAAUGAACCUCACUUCCGAGCCUGUGAUACACGGACCUCCUCAGCCUUAAGAGCUUCCUCUCACUGUCAACCUCGGGCCCUCUUAAAACCCAUAUUUUUAAAAACUGCGACCUCAAAUCAGACAAGAUUACCC
rnacentral:misc_RNA from 1 species